rnacentral:lncRNA from 1 species
AAACUAAGUGAUUCACUUGUUUUACUUACAAAAUGCACUUUCUAAAAGCAAUUCCUAAUAAACAAAGUAAGUGCUAAAACUCUCUCUCUUAAUCAUAUGCAAGUUUCAAAUAUAUAGGCAUUAUUGGACUUGUGAAUAUACAAACCAUUUACAUUAUUAAUCCCCACCAAGUAGCCAAUAAAACAUGACUACCAAUAUCUUAAUAAAGUCGAGGAUAAUUUAGAGAUCCCCAAUAUAUGUUUUCAAAUCAUUUAACC